rnacentral:rRNA from 1 species
GAAACUGCGAAUGGCUCAUUAAAUCAGUUAUGGUUUAUUUGAUGGUACCUUACUACUUGGAUAACCGUAGUAAUUCUAGAGCUAAUACAUGCAGGAAGUCCCGACUCCGGAAGGGAUGUAUUUAUUAGAUAAGAAACCAACCCGGCUUGCCGGUUGCGUGCUGAGUCACAAUAACUGCUCGAAUCGCACGGGUUCACCCCGGCGAUGGUUCAUUCAAAUUUCUGCCCUAUCAGCUUUCGAUGGUAGGAUCGAGGCCUACCAUGGCGUUAACGGGUAACGGAGAAUUAGGGUUCGAUUCCGGAGAGGGAGCCUGAGAAAUGGCUACCACAUCCAAGGAAGGCAGCAGGCGCGUAAAUUGCCCGAAUCCUGACACAGGGAGGUAGUGACAAGAAAUAACAAUACAGGGCUAUCUUAGUCUUGUAAUUGGAAUGAGUACAAUUUACAUCUCUUCACGAGGAUCAAUUGGAGGGCAAGUCUGGUGCCAGCAGCCGCGGUAAUUCCAGCUCCAAUAGCGUAUAUUAAAGUUGUUGCAGUUAAAACGCUCGUAGUCGGAUUUCGGGGCGGGGCCGCCGGUCUGCCGAUGGGUAUGCACUGGUCGGCGCGUCCUUCCUUCCGGAGACUGGCCCUACUCUUAGCUGAGCGGGGUCGGGAGUCGGAUCGUUUACUUUGAAAAAAUCAGAGUGUUUCAAGCAGGCAGCUCGCUCUUGCAUGGAUUAGCAUGGGAUAAUGAAAUAGGACUUUGGUGCUAUUUUGUUGGUUUCGAACACCGAAGUAAUGAUUAACAGGGACAGUCAGGGGCACUCGUAUUCCGCCGAGAGAGGUGAAAUUCUCAGACCAGCGGAAGACGAACCACUGCGAAAGCAUUUGCCAGGGAUGUUUUCACUGAUCAAGAACGAAAGUUAGGGGAUCGAAGACGAUCAGAUACCGUCGUA